GGAUGUGAGCCGGAACUGAUCGGUUAUCACCUGUUAAGUGAAGGACGCGGGUUCGAAUCCCGCCAGGCUUCG
rnacentral:tRNA from 1 species